GGGCCCGCACAAGCAGCGGAGCAUGUGGUUUAAUUCGAAGCAACGCGAAGAACCUUACCUAGACUUGACAUCUCCUGAAUUACUCGUAACGGAGGAAGCCCUUCGGGGCAGGAAGACAGGUGGUGCAUGGUUGUCGUCAGCUCGUGUCGUGAGAUGUUGGGUUAAGUCCCGCAACGAGCGCAACCCUUAUUGUUAGUUGCUACCAUUAAGUUGAGCACUCUAGCGAGACUGCCGCGGUUAACGCGGAGGAAGGUGGGGAUGACGUCAAAUCAUCAUGCCCCUUAUGUCUAGGGCUACACACGUGCUACAAUGGGGAGUACAAAAAGACGCAAGACCGCGAGGUGGAGCAAAACUUAUAAAACUUCCCCCAGUUCGGAUUGUAGGCUGAAACUCGCCUACAUGAAGCUGGAGUUGCUAGUAAUCGCGAAUCAGAAUGUCGCGGUGAAUACGUUCCCGGGCCUU
rnacentral:rRNA from 1 species